UCGAACUCAUGGUAAGGCUACAGUCGCACUACAUCAAAUUGGUGGUUUUCCGAAGAAAAUGCUCGAGUUACUUUAGGAAACACCGAAAUCACUUUACACGUGCCUUUAAAAAUUGAGGAGUUCCCUCAAUUCCUCAUGGAUUCCAUCAUCAGAUCAGAACCAAAAAUAAUACGGAAACACCUUGGAGGUAGCUCCUUUCAAACAAAAAAAGAAUUACUCAAAUCGGACCACGGAUGUCGGAGUAAUCGGUGAACGUACAUAAAAAAAAAUA